rnacentral:rRNA from 1 species
GUGGGGAAUUUUGGACAAUGGGCGCAAGCCUGAUCCAGCAAUGCCGCGUGCAGGAAGAAGGCCUUCGGGUUGUAAACUGCUUUUGUACGGAACGAAACGGUCCGGGUUAAUACCCUGGGCUAAUGACGGUACCGUAAGAAUAAGCACCGGCUAACUACGUGCCAGCAGCCGCGGUAAUACGUAGGGUGCAAGCGUUAACCGGAAUUACUGGGCGUAAAGCGUGCGCAGGCGGUUUUGUAAGACAGGCGUGAAAUCCCCGGGCUCAACCUGGGAAUUGCGCUUGUGACUGCAAGGCUGGAGUGCGGCAGAGGGGGAUGGAAUUCCGCGUGUAGCAGUGAAAUGCGUAGAUAUGUGGAGGAACACCGAUGGCGAAGGCAAUCCCCUGGGCCUGCACUGACGCUCAUGCACGAAAGCGUGGGGAGCAAACAGGAUUAGAAACCCUUGUAGUCC